rnacentral:sRNA from 2 species
AUUUAGCCCCGAUAGAGUUGUUAUCCUUUUUCCGGCUUUUUAGACGGAAAAAGAUAUAGGCGAAAGCGGGAAUGAAG